rnacentral:lncRNA from 1 species
GGUGGUGCAUGCCUGUCCCAGCUACUCAGGAGGCUGAGGCACGAGAAUUACUUGAAUCUGGGAGGUGGAGGCUGCAGUGAGCUGAGAUGCUGAGAUCAUGCCACUGCACUCUAGCCUGGACUAUAGAGCAAGACCCUGUCUCAAAAAAAAAUAGCAAUUUUGCUGGUUCCUGCUCCUUUCCUGGGAGUUUCUCAAGACUCAGUCUCCAGGAUUAUUUUCUUCUCAUUCUGUAUUCUUUUCCUAGGUAAUCUCAUCCAUGCCUACGUCUUCUGUUUUAUUCACAGAAGCUCUCAAAUACAGGGUUCAGGCUUCCCCUCUUGAUCUGUAGACCUAGAGAAUUGUGUUUUUCAUCUUUCAAGUGUCAUAUAGGCACCUCACAUUUACAGGGUUUCAAGCAGAGCUCCUUAUCUUCCCCUACCAAACCAUCAACUCCUCAAGCAUUUCUCAUCUCGGCACUCCCCACUCAUCCAGGUGAGCAAGCCAGAAACCUGAGGGUUGCCUUUGAUAGUCUUUCCCCCAUUAUACACGAUCAAUCAGUCACUAAUUACUGCUGAUUUUAGCCUCUUAAUCGUCUCUGCAAUAUGUACUUCCUUCUCUCUCAGCCACCAUCUUGGUCUGAGCCAGGAUUUCUCAGUUGGAGCACUAUUGAUAUUUCAGGUCAGAUGAUUGUUGAGGGAACUGCCCUGUAUAUUGUAGGAUGUUUAGUAGCAUCCUUGACCUUUCCCUACUAGUUGCCAGUAACAUCCUCCCACACAUGGUGUGACAACCAAGAAUGUCUCAAGACAUUGCCAAGUGUCCUCAGAGGAGUAAAAUUUCCCUGGUGAGAACCACUGGUCUAAGCUACCAUGCACACUUUUCUGGAUCUUGGCAACGGUCUCACACAUCUCUCUGUGUCCAUUUUCUUCCUCUCUGAUCCAUUUUCCCAAGCCAACAGGCCCCAUCUCUUCAAAACCCAGAUCUCUCUGUGUCAAAACUCUCUGUAAAACACUCUUCUAUGCUGUCCAUUUCUUAGUGGAUUCACAAUCAGAUUCUCAAUGUGACCUGGAAGGCCCUGCAAGGUAUAUUCUCUAUCUCUCUUUCCAGUCUCUAUUAACCCAUACUACUUCUUACUUCAUGCUCUGAAGACAAACCAGCCUUCUUUCAGUUUUUCAAAUAUAUCAUGUUUACUCCUGCCAUAGGACCUUUGUACAUUAUUUUACUAAUUAGCACUUGUUUAUACUUUUUUUCUCACUUCAGUCAUUUCACUGAUACUUCCCCGGCAUCCCCUAAUCUGGAUCAUACAUCCAAACUGGGUCAAGUCCCUAAAUUAUGUGCUUUUAAAGCAGGCAUUCCUUUCUUUCAGCUAGAGUUUCAUUACAGUCGUUGUUGAGCAAAUGACCCCUGUUGCUUAUCACCAAAGCAGCAGUCCCAGGAUGUUAACUUACUGUAUGGUUUGGAGAUGUCCAUGUCACCAAGAAAGAUGAUUCACACAGGCACUGGAUGGAAAACACUUUACUCAUAUAGAGAAGAGAUGGAACAGGAUUAGCUUCAGUGAUGACUGUGUGCCCCCAUGGCAGUGGGUCUUGACCUCUAGCUGAUGCAGGGAGAUGGAAUGCAUACACUGCUCUGUUGCUGCAGGUGAAGAUCCUCAACCCAUCCCCCUGGGGCCAGAACUAUAGAAAGCUGGAGGUGCACUUGAUGGCCAUUGACCCAUGCGCUUAAGAACAAAGAAGUACACGUGAAACCCGGAACGGGGAAAGUUAUUACAAAGCAGAGAUGUGCCUAGCACAGGCUAUGAUGACUCUUUAUCUCUGUGCAAGAAAAUGUUCCAGGCCCAAGGCUGCUCUUAUGUAACGAUGCAGGGGGUGAGAAGCUGUGCACAACUGCCUUUCAUAACAGGAAUUCUCUCGUUAGUCUUUCUCUGUCCACUAGACAGUAAACCACGUGCAAGCAGAAAUCAUGCUUUUCUUACAUCACUUUUUGCAUUCUCAGUGCUUAGCACUGUUAACUGUCUAGUGAGCACUCAGUAAAUAUGUGUUGAGUGAAUAGGAUGCUCUUUUAUAGAUUAAGAAUAUUAACCAUUUUACUACCUUAUAUGAUAAAUACUUUUCUCCAGUUAUCUAUUUAAGACUCAACAUUUUACAAGUGACUGCUAUCUCUCUGAUUGUAUGUUGAGGCUUGUAGUAUUGGAGAUAAUUCAUAGCUAACUAUAGACUAGAGGGACAACCACGUUAUCAGAGAAUGUUAUACUGGUAGUUAGGAAACCUG